AUGGGCACGAGUGCUGUGCUGGGUGAAUCGAUCCAGUCCAACAAACCCGAAGUGUCUGCAGGAGUAGGCGACAAUGUGACACUCAGCUGUUCUUACAAUACCAGCUACUCUGAUGUCUAUCUCUACUGGUACCGUCAGUUUCCUGACCAAGGCCCGCAGUACGUUCUCCGAACAGGUGCCAAGGCAUACAGCUCUGUCCGGGGUUUUGCAGAGUUUGCCAAGAAGAGAUUUACUCCCCAGGCUGAUGACACCUCUACAGUUGUGACUAUCACAGCCCUGGAGCUGGCAGAUUCAGCGGUGUAUCUCUGCGCCCUGCAGAGGGCCCAGUGA